rnacentral:tRNA from 1 species
GUUUUAAUAGUUUAAAAUAAAAUAAUGAUCUUGUAAAUCAUUGAUAGGUUUAUCCUUUAAAACU